UCUCAUGUAAAAAAAAGACAUCUUUUGGUUAGUAAAGCCUAUUUACCCUCCUUAAUUUUAUACUUUAGCUUCAUUUGGUAGCUAGUAUAAAAGUCUUAGGAACAAGUUACAAGUACUCAAUUGUUUUAAUAAAC